AGUAGGAGCCUAGGCAUUGGCCCACAGAUGUGCUGUUCUCCUUCUUUGGAUACCCGUCGCAACAACACAACCUUCUCUGUCUACUGGAGUUGUCUUGGUUGUAGAUUUGGAGAUCCUCAAUCUCUCAGCUUAGUUCUCUAAUGUUAAGUCAUAUCGACUCUUAGCAUAGUACUUUAUUUGCCACUGUUCUUUCUACCUUUAUUUUGCGAGAAUUUUCUAUGGGUAAGUUAUUCCAUCUGUAACACUUUAUGAUGUGAAAGCCCACACGAGGGUACCCAGAGCCCAUACACAAUGUGAUCUUAUUUACCUGUGAGAAGUCCAAGACAGUAACCACAAUCGUGACACGGUGGUGAGAAGGAACUUAAAACUCAGAACAGGACUUGUUUUCAUUCCUUUCUUGUUAGUAUCAUUCACAACUUCUGUAGAAGUUGGGAGUCCAGAAAGCAAAGGGCGGGAUUUUCUCACAUGAUCUUGACCCAUAUUGGGUUUUCUGUCUUCCAUCUCCACAUUUAACAUUAAAUAUAUCACAUCUCUCCAAAGGUCAUGCCUAUUCCAGUGUGCUACACUCAGUGAAGAAGUUGGACCAAGUAUCAAAAGAGUGAAGGCCAAGCUCUGACUGUUACAGAGAGUUUGAGAUGGACAAAUGAUGCUUGGAAAAACACUUGACUUCUCGCUGGGACCUCCAUCUACUGUAAAUAACCAACAACCUGUUCAAGGAUCAAUGUGCCUCUGACAUGAUGAAAACAAGGUAGAAGGGAGUCCACAGAAGGAAACGGGUCUGAGGUCUAACACCAUAACACUUCCAAUUCUGUCUUCUAGGCAUCACUAACAAUUCUAUAUAGUCCUACGUCCCAGAAGAUGAGUGAAGGUGUUACAGUUAGGAUGACUGUUGACAUGAGGCACUCAGAGGUUCGCCACAAAUCUGAAGGACAAGAUUGAGAUUGCCAUUCUUAUGGUCUUUCCAUAGUCUCCCCUUGCAAUCAGAAUUGACCAUCACUAUGGACCUCAUCUAUUAGAUGCAGGAUGUCUAGCAAGCCUCUGGACAGGCAGCAUGGCAGAAAUCAACUCUUUCCAAAAA